rnacentral:piRNA from 1 species
UCAAAAGAUGGUAUUUGCUCAGUUUUUC